UACGUAGGGUGCGAGCGUUGUCCGGAUUUACUGGGCGUAAAGAGCGUGUAGGCGGCCAAACAGGUCCGUUGUGAAAACUGGAGGCUCAACCUCCAGACGUCGACGGAAACUGUGUGGCUAGAGUCCGGAAGAGGAGAGUGGAAUUCCUGGUGUAGCGGUGAAAUGCGCAGAUAUCAGGAAGAACACCAUAGCGAAGGCAGCUCUCUGGGACGGUACUGACGCUGAGACGCGAAAGCGUGGGGAGCGAACAGG
rnacentral:rRNA from 1 species